CAACAACCAUCAUUUUCUGACCCAUUUGCUACACCAUCUAGAGCAAUCUCCACUGUUUCUACACCAAGUCCAGUGACAAGGAGUAUGUCAAGAAAAAUGCUGGAAUAUGACUUAUCUACACCAACUAGAGCCAUGACACUAGUUUCUACACCAAGCCCUGUCACAAGAAGCCGUAAGAGGAUACUUGGACUUGAAGACACUAUAGAGCCUGUUCAAUGUCUUGC